rnacentral:rRNA from 1 species
GACGAACGCUGGCGGCGUGCUUAACACAUGCAAGUCGAACGGAAAGGCCCUGCUUUUGUGGGGUGCUCGAGUGGCGAACGGGUGAGUAACACGUGAGUAACCUGCCCUUGACUUUGGGAUAACUUCAGGAAACUGGGGCUAAUACCGGAUAGGAGCUCCUGCUGCAUGGUGGGGGUUGGAAAGUUUCGGCGGUUGGGGAUGGACUCGCGGCUUAUCAGCUUGUUGGUGGGGUAGUGGCUUACCAAGGCUUUGACGGGUAGCCGGCCUGAGAGGGUGACCGGCCCCAUGGGACCUGGGUUCCGCCCCAGCUCCUUCCGGAGGCCAGAGGUGGGAAUAUUUCCCAAAUGGCCGAAGCCUGAAUCCAGAACCCCGCGGUGCGGAUUACCGCCUUCGGGGUUGAAACCGCUUUCGCCUGGGACGAAGCGGGAGUGACGGUAAUGGGGAAAGAAGAACCGGCUAACUACGUG